rnacentral:tRNA from 1 species
UCAGGUAUAGCUCAAUUGGCUAGAGCACUGGACUUUGACUCCAGAGGUUGUAGGUUCAAGUCCUACUGCCUGAU